GUAAUGGUUGUUCAGUGGUAGAAUUCUCGCCUGCCACACGGGAGACUAGAGUCGAUUCCCUGCUACUACA
rnacentral:tRNA from 1 species